ACCAGUGUGGCAUAGUGGUUUGAGCACUGGAUUACGACUUUGGAGACCAGGGUUCAAUUUCCUGCUUGGCCA